rnacentral:rRNA from 1 species
CAGUCGUACCGACGGAAAAUCAGCUCUUCGAGUGCGGACUUGUGGGUUACUUGAGCUUUACGGCCUCGUUGUUUGCAAUGUUCGUUCUUUUUGGGUGUACUUUUUCGUAUGGUUGGCCAAUAUCAGUUUCGAUCGCUAUAAAAUGACCGGCGGAAUGUAGCUUCGAUCUUGUAUUGAAGUGUUAUAGCCUCUGGUAGAUGUGGUGAUUGGGACUGAGGAUUGCAACGAAUACCUUUUUGGGCUAUCCGUCUGAUCUCUGAAAGUUGCUUAGGUGCCGAAAGCGUGCUUACGGUUAUUUAAGUUGACGGUCAAAAGGUUAGAACGUGAUUAUA